UACGUAGGUCCCGAGCGUUGUCCGGAUUUAUUGGGCAUAAAGCGAGCGCAGGUGGUUUAUUAAGUCUGGUGUAAAAGGCAGUGGCUCAACCAUUGUAUGCAUUGGAAACUGGUAGACUUGAGUGCAGGAGAGGAGAGUGGAAUUCCAUGUGUAGCGGUGAAAUGCGUAGAUAUAUGGAGGAACACCGGUGGCGAAAGCGGCUCUCUGGCCUGUAACUGACACUGAGGCUCGAAAGCGUCGGGAGCAAACAGG
rnacentral:rRNA from 1 species